AUUGAACGCUGGCGGCAGGCCUAACACAUGCAAGUCGAGCGGAUGAAGGGAGCUUGCUCCUGGAUUCAGCGGCGGACGGGUGAGUAAUGCCUAGGAAUCUGCCUGGUAGUGGGGGAUAACGUCCGGAAACGGGCGCUAAUACCGCAUACGUCCUGAGGGAGAAAGAGGGGGAUCUUCGGACCUCACGCUAUCAGAUGAGCCUAGGUCGGAUUAGCUAGUUGGUGGGGUAAAGGCCUACCAAGGCGACGAUCCGUAACUGGUCUGAGAGGAUGAUCAGUCACACUGGAACUGAGACACGGUCCAGACUCCUACGGGAGGCAGCAGUGGGGAAUAUUGGACAAAGGGCGAAAGCCUGAUCCAGCCAUGCCGCGUGUGUGAAGAAGGUCUUCGGAUCGUAAAGCACUUUAAGUUGGGAGGAAGGGCAGUAAGUUAAUACCUUGCUGUUUUGACGUUACCAACAGAAUAAGCACCGGCUAACUUCGUG
rnacentral:rRNA from 1 species